rnacentral:rRNA from 1 species
UACAUAGGUCCCAAGCGUUAUCCGGAUUUACUGGGCGUAAAGAGUCUGUAGCCGGAUAUAUAAGUCUGUUUUCAAAUACUCCGACUCAAUCGGAGAAAGGGGAUAGAUACUGUAUAUCUGGAAGUUAUUGGGGGUUAGUGGAAUUUCCGGUGGAGCGGUGAAAUGCGUUGAUAUCGGAAAGAACGCCGAAAGUGAAAACAGCUAACUACAAUAAACUUGACGGUCAAAGACGAAAGCUUGGGGAGCAAACGGGAUUAGAUACCCGGGUAGUCC